UUCACCUUGGUGGCAGAGCAGCUUUUGCUUCUGGUGGUGCAUGACAAGGGAGAGCUCAGUGGCAUAUUCUUGGCAGAGGAGGAACUGCAGAUGGGGUGUCUUAUCUCCCGUGAGUUAGCAUCAGAUGAAGCUUGCUGACAGCAUAAUGGCAGGGAAAACCUCCGACGGCUCCAUCAAAUGGCAGCUCUGCUACGACAUCUCGGCCAGAACUUGGUGGAUGAAACUUUCACAUCUGUUAUGACAUGACAGUGUAGCUGUGGGACAGUCUGAGGAAAGGCUGGAGAGAAAAGCCUGUUUAUCCAAAAAAACUUCGUCUGCACUCCCAGUGCUGCCCACUGAGCCAGGAGCUGGAGAUGUGACGUCCUCACCCGGUGUUUGCCAGGAGGAGGACUUUGUGUUGGUAUCUGUGUCACCAGGAGGAAGGGCACGGCUUUGUUCCCUUAGGGGCCAGCUCAUUCUUGCUGGUGAUCCCCAUGUCUGAUUUCCAGAGUUCACCAUGCCCCUGGUCGUGAAAUCACUGUGAUAGUUGGGAAAACCAGUAAUAGCACGGUCUGGAGGGUCUGCGUUGUGCAGGAUGAACAGGAGGACUUCCAAGCUCAGCCCAUGCAGUACCUGAGGUGUCUCUGUGCUACCACUCACCAUCAUUUAAUUUUACACACCGGACUGAGAUCAGAAGGUGUCAAAACUGUGUUUAAAAGCAGA